rnacentral:rRNA from 1 species
UACGAAGGGGGCUAGCGUUGUUCGGAAUUACUGGGCGUAAAGGGCUCGUAGGCGGCCAACUAAGUCAGACGUGAAAUCCCUCAGCUUAACUGGGGAACUGCGUCUGAUACUGGAUGGCUUGGAUCCGGGAGAGGGAUGCGGAAUUCCCGGUGUAGCGGUGAAAUGCGCAGAUAUCGGGAGGAACACCAAUGGCGAAGGCAGCUCGCUGGGACGGUACUGACGCUGAGACGCGAAAGCGUGGGGAGCAAACAGG